GACGAACGCUGGCGGCGUGCCUAAUACAUGCAAGUCGAACGCAUUUUCUUUCACCGUAGCUUGCUACACCGACAGAAAAUGAGUGGCGAACGGGUGAGUAACACGUGGGUAACCUGCCCAUCAGCGGGGGAUAACACUUGGAAACAGGUGCUAAUACCGCAUAAUUCCAUUUACCGCAUGGUAAAUGGAUGAAAGGCGCUUUUGCGUCACUGAUGGAUGGACCCGCGGUGCAUUAGCUAGUUGGUGGGGUAACGGCCUACCAAGGCUGCGAUGCAUAGCCGACCUGAGAGGGUGAUCGGCCACACUGGGACUGAGACACGGCCCAGACUCCUACGGGAGGCAGCAGUAGGGAAUCUUCGGCAAUGGACGCAAGUCUGACCGAGCAACGCCGCGUGAGUGAAGAAGGGUUUCGGAUCGUAAAACUCUGUUGUUAGAGAAGAACAAGGAUGAGAGUGGAAAGUUCAUCCCUUGACGGUAUCUAACCAGAAAGCCACGGCUAACUACGUG
rnacentral:rRNA from 1 species